UGGGGUGUAGCUCAGUGUAGAGCACUUGCUUAGCCUUCAAAAGGCCUUGGGUUCCAUCCCCAGCAUCAUAA
rnacentral:tRNA from 1 species